CCUACGGGCGGCAGCAGUGGGGAAUAUUGCACAAUGGGGGAAACCCUGAUGCAGCGACGCCGCGUGAGCGAUGAAGUAUUUCGGUAUGUAAAGCUCUAUCAGCAGGGAAGAAAAUGACGGUACCUGACUAAGAAGCCCCGGCUAACUACGUGCCACCAGCCGCGGUAAUACGGAGGGGGCAAGCGUUAUCCGGAGUUACUGGGUGUAAAGGGAGCGUAGACGGCGGUGCAAGCCAGAUGUGAAAGCCCGGGGCUCAACCCCGGGACUGCAUUUGGAACUGUGCUGCUAGAGUGUGGGAGAGGCAGGCGGAAUGCGUGGUGUAGCGGUGAAAUGCGUAGAUAUUAGGAGGAACACCAGUGGCGAAGGCAGCCUACUGGACGAUGACUGACGUUGAGGCACGAAAGCGUGGGGAGCGAACAGGAUUAGAUACCCGGGUAGUC
rnacentral:rRNA from 1 species